AGACCUUUCAAUUUCUAAUUCCUUUCAUAAACCAAUCAAUUGUCCCAAACAAAAGAAAAACGUUUUCACUUCCCCUUCUCACUGUCAAAAUACGUUAGAAUUAUUUAACUUCCACGUUCAUUUUCUCCAACAUAAACGGUUGCAUGUUUUAAUGCCGCUGAUCAUACUCCAUCAAAGAAAUUGAAAAAACCAACAAAGCGUUGGCGCAGAAGAAUACGGUAAUCGAGUCACCAUUGUUGUCAUCGAAGGUCUCAGCCAAGGGAAAGAAGCGAAGUUGUAGGAGAAGAUUUGAUGGAGAUGCAUGCGAUGUUGGAGAAGAUGAAGAUCGAGAAGGAGAAGACGGAGAGGUAGUGAUUCAGUCAUAAUAGAAACCCAUUAAGAAAGGCGAUCAAUAGAAAUCCACCACCAACCAAAGAUUCACUCAGUACCCACUAAAAUUAUAAUGGAGCGGCAAGGAUUGCUAAUCCUUCAGCCAACAAGGAUGAUUACAGACAUGUAGUAUGAUCACCUCUACACUCCACCUGUGUUGUAUCUCACUAUUUUCCAGGUUUCCUUCUUCGAUUUAUGAUCACCUGACCUUUUGACGCCUUUUUCACUCUUUAGAAUUUCCCAUUGCAUUUACAAGUCUUGCCUAUAAGAAGGAAAAUUUGUUCAUUUAUGACCUUCUCCUAAUCAUGUUGGUAGAAGCAAACUAGUUUGCGAGAGUAGUUGAUUGAUUGGUUUUAAUUGUGGAUUUAGACUAGCUUUUUCUCCAAAUUGAUUUUCUUAAUAUUAACAUGCGAUGAUCAUGUUAUAUUGUUCUAUUAUAUCUCAUGUGAAAUGUUUAUUUCUUUUGUUUCUUCUCGUUGCUACCUCUGUUUUGACAUUGAUUAUGGCUUCCUCUCAUACAAUUUUUUUUUGUUUUUUUUAAAGAAAGAAUUGGUUUAUUUAUUAAGGAGUCAAGGCUGCAGAUUGUUCGUUGAGACAUAAAUAUGAUUAGGGGUGGGCGUUCGGGUAGCCAUUCGGGUUCGGUUUGGGUUUUUCGGAUUUCGGUUCUAUUUUGUAACACCUUCGAGGUCCCAUUCUAGUAAAUCUACAAGUACGGUUCGGGUUCGGAUAUAACACAUCGGUUUCGGUUUGGUUCGGAUAAUAUCCGAAGUAACCAUAUACCACUCGGAUUCGGGUUAUAUCAAAUCGGUUCGGAUAUAUUCUAAAUAAAAUCUAAAAUUUAAUAGCAAAACAUAAAAAAAUAUAUACUUAUUUAUAUAUAAUAGAGUAUUUAAGACAUUAAUUUAAAUGAUAGAUACUUAUUGUUAGAUAUCAUGUUGAAAUAAAUAUGAAAUUGAAUAUUUGAAGUAUAUAUUUAUGUUUUAAAUAUUUAUAAUGUAUACUAAUUUGGAUAUUGGGAUCGGUUUUUUGGAUAUUUUUGGAUUUUCGGAUUUUUCGGAUUAUCCAUUCGGUUUUGGUUAAUAACACUUCGGGUUCGGAUAUGUUUUGUAACACCCUACAAGAUCUAUUCGGAUAUUUUUAACAUUUCGGAUUCGGUUCGGUUCGGAUUCGGUUCGGAUUUUGGGUUACGGGUUUUAUGCCCAGCCCUAAAUAUGAUGACUGUGCUUUUUGAACAGUCUCAAAAUGUAAACUUAUCUGAUUUCGGUUUAGCUUUUUUAUUUGUCAACUUUGGUCUAGCAAAACUUGACGUGGAAGAAAUUACACAUAUCGGCAUAGGGACUGCAGGAAAAAUGUGAGUAUUCCAAAACUUAGUUAAAAACGCACUUUUGGAAUUUAUAUCGACUUAUAUCAUUUCAACUGAUGCAGAGGUUACAUGGUUCUUGAGUAUUCAAUUAGAGGUUACUUAACAUUUGUCUAUAACUUAGAUGUUGUCUUUUUAGAGAUUGUCAGCAGAAUGAGAAAAGAAAAUUGACAGACAAAAAGAAGAGUUUGUUUACCUUAUUGAUUGAGUUUAUGUCUCGCAAGAAGAACAAGAGAAGGAUUGUUUUAUUUACACACGAUUAAGGUACAAUCUUAAAACCGAAAAAACUCCAUGACAGAAAGCCUGAUUUAUGACAGAUCAUUUUGAUUGUUCUUGCCAAUUUAGGACACACAAUCUGGUCAAUAUGUGAUUGAUAUUAUGUGGUAUAUUUGCUUGGGCAACUGAUGUAUAUCUUAAAUGAUAAAUGAAAACCCCUCUAAUUAAAUGAUAAAUUUUGGCUAAACAGUUAGAUUGCAGCAAGUAAGCAACGUAGUCAUGUACAAAGCAAGGGUCGAACCGCAGGACAUGAGAAUUGAGAAGGAGAGUUCGAGAGCUCAGAGGAGUUAGUGUAGGAAUAUACUUUUUGUCUUUAAACUUCUUGACAUGUUUAACACAUAUAUAAAUAAAGUUUAUGGUUCAUGCGAUUAGUUGGUGUGUCCGAAAUAAUUUGACAAUGUAAUAUCAAAUCACAAAGCCGGGCUUACGAAAAUCAUAAAAAGAGAAAUUUCUUAA